UACGAAGGGGGCUAGCGUUGCUCGGAAUCACUGGGCGUAAAGGGUGCGUAGGCGGGUCUUUAAGUCAGGGGUGAAAUCCUGGAGCUCAACUCCAGAACUGCCUUUGAUACUGAAGAUCUUGAGUCCGGGAGAGGUGAGUGGAACUGCGAGUGUAGAGGUGAAAUUCGUAGAUAUUCGCAAGAACACCAGUGGCGAAGGCGGACUCACUGGCUCGAUACUGACGCUGAGGUGCGAAAGCGUGGGGAGCAAACAGG
rnacentral:rRNA from 1 species